rnacentral:rRNA from 1 species
UACAGAGGUCUCAAGCGUUGUUCGGAUUCAUUGGGCGUAAAGGGUGCGUAGGUGGCGGGGCUAGUCAGGUGUGAAAUCUCGGGGCUCAACCCCGAAACUGCACUUGAUACUGCCUUGCUAGAGUGCUGGAGAGGAGAUUGGAAUUUACGGUGUAGCAGUGAAAUGCGUAGAUAUCGUAAGGAAGACCAGUGGCGAAGGCGAAUCUCUGGACAGUUACUGACACUGAGGCACGAAGGCCAGGGGAGCAAACGGG